rnacentral:rRNA from 1 species
UGGCGGCGUGCCUAAUACAUGCAAGUAGAACGCUGAAGAGAGGAGCUUGCUCUUCUUGGAUGAGUUGCGAACGGGUGAGUAACGCGUAGGUAACCUGCCUUGUAGCGGGGGAUAACUAUUGGAAACGAUAGCUAAUACCGCAUAACAAUGGAUGACACAUGUCAUUUAUUUGAAAGGGGCAAUUGUUCCACUACAAGAUGGACCUGCGUUGUAUUAGCUAGUAGGUGAGGUAAUGGCUCACCUAGGCGACGAUACAUAGCCGACCUGAGAGGGUGAUCGGCCACACUGGGACUGAGACACGGCCCAGACUCCUACGGGAGGCAGCAGUAGGGAAUCUUCGGCAAUGGGGGCAACCCUGACCGAGCAACGCCGCGUGAGUGAAGAAGGUUUUCGGAUCGUAAAGCUCUGUUGUAAGUCAAGAACGGGUGUGAGAGUGGAAAGUUCACACUGUGACGGUAGCUUACCAGAAAGGGACGGCUAACUACGUGCCAGCAGCCGCGGUAAUACGUAGGUCCCGAGCGUUGUCCGGAUUUAUUGGGCGUAAAGCGAGCGCAGGCGGUUUGAUAAGUCUGAAGUUAAAGGCUGUGGCUCAACCAUAGUUCGCUUUGGAAACUGUCAAACUUGAGUGCAGAAGGGGAGAGUGGAAUUCCAUGUGUAGCGGUGAAAUGCGUAGAUAUAUGGAGGAACACCGGUGGCGAAAGCGGCUCUCUGGUCUGUAACUGACGCUGAGGCUCGAAAGCGUGGGGAGCGAACAGGAUUAGAUACCCUGGUAGUCCACGCCGUAAACGAUGAGUGCUAGGUGUUGGAUCCUUUCCGGGAUUCAGUGCCGCAGCUAACGCAUUAAGCACUCCGCCUGGGGAGUACGACCGCAAGGUUGAAACUCAAAGGAAUUGACGGGGGCCCGCACAAGCGGUGGAGCAUGUGGUUUAAUUCGAAGCAACGCGAAGAACCUUACCAGGUCUUGACAUCCCGAUGCUAUUUCUAGAGAUAGAAAGUUACUUCGGUACAUCGGUGACAGGUGGUGCAUGGUUGUCGUCAGCUCGUGUCGUGAGAUGUUGGGUUAAGUCCCGCAACGAGCGCAACCCCUAUUGUUAGUUGCCAUCAUUCAGUUGGGCACUCUAGCGAGACUGCCGGUAAUAAACCGGAGGAAGGUGGGGAUGACGUCAAAUCAUCAUGCCCCUUAUGACCUGGGCUACACACGUGCUACAAUGGUUGGUACAACGAGUUGCGAGUCGGUGACGGCGAGCUAAUCUCUUAAAGCCAAUCUCAGUUCGGAUUGUAGGCUGCAACUCGCCUACAUGAAGUCGGAAUCGCUAGUAAUCGCGGAUCAGCACGCCGCGGUGAAUACGUUCCCGGGCCUUGUAUUACACCGCCCGUCACACCACGAGAGUUUGUAACACCCGAAGUCGGUGAGGUAACCUUUUGGAGCCAGCCGCCUAAGGUGGGACAGAUGA